rnacentral:rRNA from 1 species
CGGAGGGUGCAAGCGUUAUCCGGAUUUACUGGGUUUAAAGGGUGCGUAGGUGGGUCUGUAAGUCAGUGGUGAAAUCUCCGGGCUUAACUCGGAAACUGCCAUUGAUACUAUAGGUCUUGAAUUAUCUGGAGGUGAGCGGAAUAUGUCAUGUAGCGGUGAAAUGCUUAGAUAUGACAUGGAACACCAAUUGCGAAGGCAGCUCACUACGGAUAUAUUGACACUGAGGCACGAAAGCGUGGGGAUCAAACAGGAUUAGAUACCCUGGUAGUCCACGCCCUAAACGAUGGAUACUCGACAUACGCGAUACACAGUGUGUGUCUGAGCGAAAGCAUUAAGUAUCCCACCUGGGAAGUACGAUCGCAAGAUUG